AUGCGCUACUCCAUGUCCGGAUCCGCAUCAGGAGAAGGAAAUCACGACGGCGGCCAACUCUAUGGCGAGCACGACAGCGUCUUCUUCCAGAGUCCGGCGUGCGGCGGUGGGGACGAUGUUGGUGUAACCCCGUCGGCCUACUCCACCAUCACCAACUACCUGCAGGGGCUCCUCAACCCCGCGGAGCUCGCGAGGCCACCAAGCUGCCCGGCUGCGGGCCAGGUGAUCUGUGCCGCUGCGGCCCCGUCCACGGCCAACUCGUCGACGUCCAGCGAGGCGGUGGUCGGGCCCCGCGGGUGCAAGAGAGGCAUGCCGGCGCCGGAGGAGGGAGACGAGGAUGGUUUGGCCGAUCAUGGACAUGACACGAGCGCCAAGAAGGAGCAAGAGAAGAAGGGGAAGGGGGAGAAGAAGGCCCGUGGCUCCCGUGUGGCAUUUGCGACCAAGAGCGAGGUUGACCACCUCGACGAUGGCUACCGCUGGCGCAAGUAUGGCCAGAAGGCCGUCAAGAACAGCUCCUUCCCAAGGAGCUACUAUCGGUGCACGGCCGCGCAGUGUGGGGUGAAGAAGCUAGUGGAGCGGUUGCAGCAGGACCCUUCCACGGUCGUCACCACCUACGAGGGCCGCCACGGCCACCCAAGCCCCAUCACCGCCCACCGUGGCGCACGGAUGCUAAUGGCCACCAGUGCCGACACUGUCUAUUCGCUUGCCGCACUCCAACAUCACCAACAUGGCUUUUUUCCAACCGGUACUGAUGUCUACACUUCGUCGGUGGCACACCGAGUGUCGGAGUAUGGCGGCAUUCAGUUCCAUGCCGAUCUUCUUCCGGAUGCCACGAUGGGCUACCAGCAAGGGUAUCGUUAA
rnacentral:rRNA from 1 species